UGCAGUCGAGGGAGAAGUCCUCUUCGGAGGGCGAGUAAACCGGCGAACUGGUUAGUAACAGGUGGGGAACGCGCCCCGCGGCCGGGGACAACCGUCUGGAAACAGCGGCUAAUACCGGAUGCGGCGCGUUGGUUUUCGAAUCGACGCGCGAAAGGUUCUUCUUCGGAAGGGCCGCCGCGGGAUCGCCCCGCUCCCGAUUAGCUAGAUGGUGGGGUAAUGGCCCACCAUGGCGACGAUCGGUAGCUGGUCUGAGAGGAUGGUCAGCAACACUGGGACUGAGAUACGGCCCAGACUCCUGCGGGAGGCAGCAGUCUAGAAGCUUCCGCAAUGGGCGAAAGCCUGACGGAGCGACGCCGCGUGCAUGAAGAAGGCCUUCGGGUUGUAAAAUGCUGUCAUCGGGGAAGAAGACUUCAGUGGAGACCCUCUGGAGUUUGACGGUACCCGAAGAGGAAGCCCCGGCUAACUCCGUGCCAGCAGCCGCGGUAAUACGGAGGGGGCGAGCGUUAUUCGGAAUUAUUGGGCGUAAAGAGUUCGUAGGCGGGAUGCUCAGUCCGGCGUGAAAGCCCCCGGCUCAACCGGGGAGGGUCGCUGGAUACUGGCAUUCUCGAGCAGGGCAGAGG
rnacentral:rRNA from 1 species